GACGAACGCUGGCGGCGUGCCUAAUACAUGCAAGUAGAACGCUGAAGGAGGAGCUUGCUCUUCUGGAUGAGUUGCGAACGGGUGAGUAACGCGUAGGUAACCUGCCUGGUAGCGGGGGAUAACUAUUGGAAACGAUAGCUAAUACCGCAUAACAGUAGAUGUUGCAUGACAUUUGCUUAAAAGGUGCAAUUGCAUCACUACCAGAUGGACCUGCGUUGUAUUAGCUAGUUGGUGGGGUAACGGCUCACCAAGGCGACGAUACAUAGCCGACCUGAGAGGGUGAACGGCAACACGGGAACGAAGAAAAGGCCCAAACUCCGAAGGGAGGAGGCAGAAGGGAAUCUUCGGAAAAGGAAGGAAGUCUGAACGGGAAAAGCCGGGUGAGGGAAGAAGGUUUUCGGAUCGAAAAGCCUUGUUGAAAGAGAAGAAAGAGUGGGGGAGGGGAAAGUUCACACGGUGACGGUAUUUAACAAAAAAGGGACGGAUAACUACGU
rnacentral:rRNA from 1 species